AGUCCUAGUAAACCGUGGUUCUGACCCUAUUUCACGUAGAGUGUGUGGAGUGCAGUGGGUGAGUCCUUGUCUUUGCUGUGAGUGUGUACACUUGAAAUCUUGCAGUGUUAUGCUGUGGUUGUGUUGUCAGUAGCCACCCUAGACUGGAUGAGUCGUGGGGGAGACCAGUGACCGUUGAGGCUGGUGAAGCGCCAUUUUCAUCUAAAUGCCAUUUUGCGACCCCUGCAUGGAGACCCAAAUGUAACGUCCUGUCUAGACCCUUUCAGAAUACCCUGGCUCUGUGGAAGCGGUGGUGAAGAAUACACGUAAGCAAGACUGGUGUGAGUAAAAGCCAAAAAUUAUACCUAUAUGCAAGGAGGAAGUUUUACUCUUGCAAAUUAGCUGUGUGGAUUUACUUUACCUGUUGUGGAGCCUCUUCAAAGGUUCACCCCGGUCCAGAUCCCUUAAACUGCAAAUAGAAGAGAGGAGAGGGAAGCGUUCGGGCCGGUGCGACAGUGUUUAACUUUCCCCGACGCACAGGAAAUCCCUGUGGAGGCCUGCGCUACGACGACUUACUACUCCAGGUCUGACAGUUCAUCUACUUACUGUAUCGCAGUAUUUCACCGUAAGCCCACCGCCCAGGAGAAGUAUUCUAGGAGAAUAGAGCCCCAGUUACCUGUGGAAUACUUACCUUUGUCCAUUGCUACGAAUCACUAAAGUGAGAAUAGAGCCCCAUUGCCUGUGAAGUACCUACCUGUGUUGUCCCCCGCAGUUUGAGUGACCUCUCUCUUGCAGUGCCAUUGGAGUUCUGUGUCGCGGGUUGGCGCUCACCUCGGAGUGUGCAGAAGGGGAGGCGCCGCCCGAGCACCCCGUACGAAGAGAUCGGAGGAACAAGUCGUUUAUCAGCCAGUCGUAUGGACCCAAGUAACAGGUAGCCACUCUCACCGGAUCGAUUACUCAUUGUGUGUUUCACUCUGCCUUCAGGAGAAAAGAAGGGCGCCACGAGUCAACAAAAGCCCAAAGGGACAUACUAACCCUCGCCGCAUAGUCCUCUCCGGCCCCUUUCUCCUCCUGCUGAACAGAGACGAUAAUUUUAAGAUUUACCUCCCCCUCCCUGAAUUAUUUUAAUUAAUUUAAAUAAAGUUGUUUUAAUAUUA